UACGAAGGGGGCUAGCGUUGCUCGGAAUCACUGGGCGUAAAGCGCACGUAGGCGGAUUGUUAAGUCAGGGGUGAAAUCCUGGAGCUCAACUCCAGAACUGCCUUUGAUACUGCAAAUCUCGAGUCCGGAAGAGGUGAGUGGAAUUCCUAGUGUAGAGGUGAGAUUCGUAGAUAUUAGGAAGAACACCAGUGGCGAAGGCGGCUCACUGGUCCGGUACUGACGCUGAGGUGCGAAAGCGUGGGGAGCAAACAGG
rnacentral:rRNA from 1 species